rnacentral:rRNA from 1 species
AGGACGAACGCUGGCGGCGUGCUUAACACAUGCAAGUCGAGCGGAAAGGCCCUUCGGGGUACUCGAGCGGCGAACGGGUGAGUAACACGUGAGUAAUCUGCCCCUAGCUCUGGGAUAGCUCCGGGAAACCGGGAUUAAUACCGGAUAUGACCACUUUAGACAUCUGCUGUGGUGGAAAGAAUUUCGGCUAGGGAUGAGCUCGCGGCCUAUCAGCUUGUUGGUGGGGUAACGGCCUACCAAGGCGACGACGGGUAGCCGGCCUGAGAGGGCGACCGGCCACACUGGGACUGAGACACGGCCCAGACUCCUACGGGAGGCAGCAGUGGGGAAUAUUGCGCAAUGGGCGAAAGCCUGACGCAGCGACGCCGCGUGGGGGAUGAAGGCCUUCGGGUUGUAACCCUUUCAGCAGGGACGAAGCGAAAGUGACGGUACCUGCAGAAGAAGCGCCGGCUAACUACGUGCCAGCAGCCGC